rnacentral:rRNA from 1 species
GACGAACCGAGCGAACGUUAUUCGGAAUCACUGGGCUUAAAGGGCGCGUAGGCGGGCCGUCAAGUCAGGGGUGAAAGCCCCCAGCUCAACUGGGGAAGUGCCUUUGAUACUGACGGCCUCGAGGGAGAUAGGGGCGUGCGGAACUUCCGGUGGAGCGGUGAAAUGCGUAGAUAUCGGAAGGAACACCGGUGGCGAAAGCGGCGCGCUGGAUCUCUUCCGACGCUGAGGCGCGAAAGCCAGGGGAGCGAACGGG